UGAGAAGAUUGGUCGCAGAUAUUUACCACCCCUUUUAUAAAUAAUUUCAUACCCACUCCUUGUAUCCACCUGUUUAUUCUGAACCCAAAGUAUGCGGGUAGCCAAUCACGUGGCUGCCUGAGAUCACGUGGGGCUGGUGGUGUCACGAGAUGGCCGCCUUCCAAUCACAGGGCGGCGUGACGUUUAACAAAAUGGCUGCGCCCUGCCAUAAGAUGGCGGGUGAAACAAAAUGGCCGCCCCCAGUGGAUAUAGGUGACGUUUAACAAAAGGGCUGCGCCCUGCCAUAAGAUGGCGGGUGAAACAAAAUGGCCGCCCCCAGUGGAUAUAGGGGGGGUGAGACCGUGUGUCAAAGUACUUCCGGGCUGUAUCAACCAAUCACAGCACUGUACGUGCCGCUGCGGCGCGUGGCCGCGAGAGGGCGGGGCUUGAGUGGGUGGUGGGCGUGGCCUCCUCUUGCUCCGUGCCCAGCUGCGGCGGGCUGCGCUGGGGGGCGCCGUGCCCGCGUCCGUGACCAAUCACAGCGCUGUACGUGCCGCUGCGGCGCGUGGCCGCGAGAGGGCGGGGCUUGAGUGGGUGGUGGGCGUGGCCUCCUCUUGCUCCGUGCCCAGCUGCGGCGGGCUGCGCUGGGGGGCGCCGUGCCCGCGUCCGUGUCCGUGUGCGGGGUCCGUGUCCGUGCCCGCGUCCGUGUGCGGGGUCCAUGUCCGUGCCCGCGUCCGUGUGCCGGGUCCGUGUCCGUGCCCGCGUAUGUCCGUGUCCGUGUCCGUGUCCGUGUGCGGGGUCCAUGUCCCGUGUCCGUGUCCGUGUCCCUGUGCGGGGUCCAUGUCCCAUGUCCCGUGUCCGUGUCCGUGUCCGUGUGCGGGGUCCAUGUCCCGUGUCCGUGUCCGUGUCCCUGUGCGGGGUCCAUGUCCCGUGUCCGUGUCUGUGUCCCCGUCCCCGUCCCCGUCUCGGCCGGGCGCUGCAGCCCCGCGCUCCCCGGCUCUUUCCGCGCAGCGUUGCCGGGAUUCCCCGGGACCCCCGGCCACGGCCCGCUCCCCGCGCGGAGAGGGGUGUCCGUGUCCGUGUGCGGGGUCCAUGUCCCGUGUCCGUGUCCGUGUCCCUGUGCGGGGUCCAUGUCCCAUGUCCCGUGUCCGUGUCCGUGUCCGUGUCCGUGUGCGGGGUCCAUGUCCCGUGUCCGUGUCCGUGUCCCUGUGCGGGGUCCAUGUCCCCUGUCCGUGUCCGUGUGCGGGGUCCAUCUCCCUGUGCGGGGUCCCCCCCCCCCCCCCCCCCCCCCCCCCCCCCCCCCCCCCCCCCCCCCCC
rnacentral:lncRNA from 12 species